rnacentral:rRNA from 1 species
CCUACGGGUGGCAGCAGUGGGGAAUAUUGGACAAUGGGGGGAACCCUGAUCCAGCCAUGCCGCGUGUGUGAAGAAGGCCCUCGGGUUGUAAAGCACUUUCAGUGAGGAAGAACGCCUGGUGGUUAAUACCCAUCAGGAAAGACAUCACUCACAGAAGAAGCACCGGCUAACUCCGUGCCAGCAGCCGCGGUAAUACGGAGGGUGCGAGCGUUAAUCGGAAUUACUGGGCGUAAAGCGCGCGUAGGUGGCUUGAUAAGCCGGUUGUGAAAGCCCCGGGCUCAACCUGGGAACGGCAUCCGGAACUGUCAAGCUAGAGUGCAGGAGAGGAAGGUAGAAUUCCCGGUGGAGCGGUGAAAUGCGUAGAGAUCGGGAGGAAUACCAGUGGCGAAGGCGGCCUUCUGGACUGACACUGACACUGAGGUGCGAAAGCGUGGGUAGCAAACAGGAUUAGAUACCCUUGUAGUC